rnacentral:lncRNA from 1 species
ACAUUUAACUACUUUUCCUUAACCAAGUAUUCACCUCUUUGAAUCUGACUGAAGUAAUUUGAGAGAAGUGAAAGUUCCUAUUUAGUCCUGUCAGGACAGUGAGGUUUCCAUUAAAGAAAUGCACAGACUCUGUAUGAUAACCAUUCUACAGACCAAAGUUAGUAAUGCCACCAUCUUGUUUUCAAUGCCAUCUAACUUUUAUUUCAGUUGAAGAAUUAGACUAGCAUUGUCACAUGCUGCUUGACUUAGGUCAUGUCAGCUAAAUUCCUGCGAAAAGUAAGGUUUUCGCAAUAAAAGGAUACACUUUGUUUUGCUUUUUGUCUUCAAUUCAGCAGUAAGUUCUUACAAAGGUAUAUCAUUCCUCCCAGUUUGUGAGGUAUGGGUCAUCGCUGGGGUCAGAAAGGGUCUUUACUUGCCAUAGGAGAAACAAAAUUUGCCAAAUCAUUUGUGCUUUAGUAUUUUACUUAAAACUGUUUUGUUUUCUUUUGUUUUUUGUUUUCUACUUGAAAUAAAUCUUGCCCAUUUUUUCUUCUGCCUACUUAUUGAUAACUUUUUCUAGAAACUCACUAUAAAAUCUGUAUGUUCGAAACUUAAAUGGAGUUGAUUAGCACCUUCUUUUAUAAUGAUGCUUAUCAUUUUUAACUAGCCUGGGUUUUCAUGGAAACUAUAAAAAAAAAGCAUCUGUUGGUUAUGUAUUGAUAUUUAAAAUACCUGGACCAUCUCUAUGAUGUUACAUCAAAAUAGAUGACCAGUGUACUCAAUAUUAAAACAUAGCUGUGUCCUUUUCAUUUGUCAGAGUGGAAUGAAAUACACAUAUACACACACAUAUAUACUGCUCUCUCUCUCUCUCUCUCUCUCUCUCUCUCUCUCUCUCUCUCUCUCUCUCUU